GACGAACGCUGGCGGCGUGCCUAAUACAUGCAAGUCGAACGAGAGCGACCGGUGCUUGCACUGGUCAAUCUAGUGGCGAACGGGUGAGUAACACGUGGGUAACCUGCCCAUCAGAGGGGGAUAACAUUCGGAAACGGAUGCUAAAACCGCAUAGGUCCUUUAACCGCAUGGUUGAAGGAGGAAAAGAGGCGCAAGCUUCUGCUGAUGGAUGGACCCGCGGUGCAUUAGCUAGUUGGUGAGGUAACGGCUCACCAAGGCCGUGAUGCAUAGCCGACCUGAGAGGGUGAUCGGCCACAUUGGGACUGAGACACGGCCCAAACUCCUACGGGAGGCAGCAGUAGGGAAUCUUCCGCAAUGGACGCAAGUCUGACGGAGCAACGCCGCGUGAGUGAAGAAGGUUUUCGGAUCGUAAAACUCUGUUGUUAGAGAAGAACAAGUGCUAGAGUAACUGUUAGCGCCUUGACGGUAUCUAACCAGAAAGCCACGGCUAACUACGUGCCAGCAGCCGCGGUAAUACGUAGGUGGCAAGCGUUGUCCGGAUUUAUUGGGCGUAAAGCGAGCGCAGGCGGUUCCUUAAGUCUGAUGUGAAAGCCCCCGGCUCAACCGGGGAGGGUCAUUGGAAACUGGGGAACUUGAGUGCAAAAGAGGACAGUGGAAUUCCAUGUGUAGCCGUGAAAUGCGUAGAUAUAUGGAGGAACAUCAGUGGAGAAGGCGACUCUCUGGUCUGUAUCUGACACUGAGGCUCGAGAGAGUGGGUAGCAAUAGGAUUAAUACCUUGUAUCCCAGGGCGA
rnacentral:rRNA from 1 species